GUCGAACGAACCCUUCGGGGUGAGUGGCGGACGGGUGCGUAACGCGUGGGAAACUGCCCUGGGGUGCGGAACAACAGUUAGAAAUGACUGCUAAUACCGCAUAAUGACUUCGGUCCAAAGAUUUAUCGCCCUUGGAUGUGCCCGCGUUGGAUUAGCUUGUUGGUGGGGUAAAGGCCUACCAAGGCGACGAUCCAUAGCUGGUCUGAGAGGAUGAUCAGCCACACUGGGACUGAGACACGGCCCAGACUCCUACGGGAGGCAGCAGUGGGGAAUAUUGGACAAUGGGCGAAAGCCUGAUCCAGCAAUGCCGCGUGAGUGAUGAAGGCCUUAGGGUUGUAAAGCUCUUUUACCAGGGAUGAUAAUGACAGUACCUGGAGAAUAAGCUCCGGCUAACUCCGUGCCAGCAGCCG
rnacentral:rRNA from 1 species